rnacentral:rRNA from 1 species
UGGGGAAUAUUGGGCAAUGGGCGCAAGCCUGACCCAGCAACGCCGCGUGAGGGAAGAAGGCCUUCGGGUUGUAAACCUCUGUCCUUAGGGACGAAAAAAAUGACGGUACCUAAGGAGGAAGCUCCGGCUAACUACGUGCCAGCAGCCGCGGUAAUACGUAGGGAGCAAGCGUUGUCCGGAAUUACUGGGCGUAAAGGGUGCGUAGGUGGCCAUGCAAGUCAGAUGUGAAAUCCCCGGGCUUAACUCGGGUGCUGCAUUUGAAACUGGGUGGCUUGAGUGCAGGAGAGGAAAGCGGAAUUCCUAGUGUAGCGGUGAAAUGCGUAGAUAUUAGGAGGAACACCAGUGGCGAAGGCGGCUUUCUGGACUGUAACUGACACUGAGGCACGAAAGCGUGGGGAGCAAACA